rnacentral:misc_RNA from 1 species
AGUCGUAACAAGGUAUCCGUAGGUGAACCUGCGGAUGGAUCAUUACCAAAUAUCCAUUUGAACACAUGUGAACUGUAUAUUUACCACGGUCAGUGGAGGAGGUGGUUAGUUGCGUGCUUCGGCAUUCUAAUUUCCACCUUCGCUGACCGUACCCAAUCCCAACAAAACUCUACAUAACUAAAGUAUAUCCAAGCAAACAAAAACAACUUUUAGCAACGGAUCUCUUGGCUCUC